ensembl:lncRNA
GUUCAGUCUAGCAGCAGUGGCUCCAUCUACGCUCCCUGUAUCCUGGCUGUCAAUCAAAAUGGACUGCACUUUCUCAACAAGGACACUCACGAGCUGCAGACAGUGGUCCCCCUGGUGGAGGUGCAGUCUACCCGCACCCAGAGACCCUCGGCCGGGACCAGCUACCCCUACGUAGACCUCACUCUGGGAGAUCUGACCACUCACAGAGUCACGCAGAUACAGCUCAAACAGGGAUUGGAGCUGUGUCGGGUCAUUGCCAUGCACGUGGAGAACAUGCUGUCAGUCAGGGAGAAGAGAUUCACCCUGCCACCCAGCGAGGUCACUGUGUUAUAAGACACUGUCUGUCUGUCUGUCUGUCUCUCAGGGAGAAGAGACUCACCCUGCCACCCAGCGAGGUCACUGUGUUAUAAGACACUGUCUGUCUGUCUGUCUGUCUGUCUCUCAGGGAGAAGAGACUCACCCUGCCACCCAGAGAG